AUUGAACGCUGGCGGCGUGCUUAACACAUGCAAGUCGAUCGGUAACGCGGGGGCAACCCUGGCGACGAGAGGCGGACGGGUGAGGAACGCUUGGGAAUCUGCCUAUCAGCGGGGGACAACACGGGGAAACUCGUGCUAAUACCGCAUACGCUCUACGGAGGAAAGCCGGGGACCGCAAGGCCUGGCACUGAUAGAUGAGCCAAAGCCGGAUUAGCUUGUUGGCGGGGUAACGGCCCACCAAGGCGACGAUCCGUAGCUGGUCUGAGAGGACGGUCAGCCACACUGGGACUGAGACACGGCCCAGACUCCUACGGGAGGCAGCAGUGGGGAAUAUUGGACAAUGGGGGAAACCCUGAUCCAGCGACGCCGCGUGGGUGAAGAAGGCCUGCGGGUUGUAAAGCCCUUUCGGUAGGGACGAAAGCUCUCGACCUAACACGUCGGGAGGUUGACUUAACCUACAAAAGAAGCACCGGCUAACUCUGUGCCAGCAGCCGCCGUAA
rnacentral:rRNA from 1 species